GAUUCGUCACACUAUCAUUAACUGAAUCCAUAGGUUAAUGAGGCGAACCGGGGGAACUGAAACAUCUAAGUACCCCGAGGAAAAGAAAUCAACCGAGAUUCCCCCAGUAGCGGCGAGCGAACGGGGAGGAGCCCAGAGCCUGAAUCAGCAUGUGUGUUAGUGGAAGCGUCUGGAAAGGCGCGCGAUACAGGGUGACAGCCCCGUACACAAAAGCGCAUGUGCUGUGAGCUCGAUGAGUAGGGCGGGACACGUGGUAUCCUGUCUGAAUAUGGGGGGACCAUCCUCCAAGGCUAAAUACUCCUGACUGACCGAUAGUGAACCAGUACCGUGAGGGAAAGGCGAAAAGAACCCCGGCGAGGGGAGUGAAAAAGAACCUGAAACCGUGUACGUACAAGCAGUGGGAGCCCCACCACUAAGC
rnacentral:rRNA from 1 species